rnacentral:tRNA from 1 species
CGCGGAAAUAGCUCAGCUUGGUAGAGCACUUGGUUUGGGACCAAGGGGUCGCAGGUUCGAAUCCUGUCUUCCCGA